GGGGCCUGUUGGACUUUCUCACUGGCGCAGUGCUGGAGCGGUGAAGGACCAGGGACAAGUCACCUUGCACCGUCUCUUACCCCUAACUGGCCGCUCGUGGCCCACCCCCAGGUGCCAACAUCCUUGUGGCCGACUCUUUUGGGUAUGGACGAACGGACGCCCGUCUUCUCCAAGUCGGAGCACAGGAGUCGGGCAGCACAGGAGCCAGCCCCACCGCAGGGGUCUCCCUGCGACGCUCCAACCUGCCUGCCUGCCCCUGCCGCGGGUCUCCGCCGCUGUACUUUCAAAGGCUCUUGAUGUAUUUACCUGUCGUUUUCUGCGUUCUCUUCUACAGAAACAUCACGAAACCGACACUGAGUUGGGACAUUGGUAUGUGGGGUCACCCAAGUCUGGGUUCCCGGUCCUGGGCACCCAAUAAGCCCUCUCCGGAGCGCCUCAGGCUGCUGCAUGUAUGUGGCGCACAUACAUCUUCUCAGUGGCCAGCAUGGCGGGGCACAGCUUUAAGCCCAGCACUUGGGAAGCAGACACAAGUGGAUUUCUGGGAGUUUGAGGCCAGCCUGGUCUACACAGUGAGUUCCAGGAUGGCCAGGCCUGCAAAGUGACAGACCCUGUCUCAAAAUGUUCUAAAAACAGGACAAAACGAAACCGUAUUGUUAUGUGAUUUCAUCUGCAAUGUGACUCUCUCCUUAUGCCUCACACUAAAAUUCAGUAUAACACUGGGACAGUCAGGUGGAGAAAGCCAUUAACAGAGAGGCAAGUCGAUUUUUGUGGAGUUUGAGUCCAGCCUGGUCUAUAUAGUUAGUUUCAGGCUGUCCAGGAAGAAAGACGUUCAGUGGGGUUUUAAAAUACACAUAUACAGU
rnacentral:lncRNA from 1 species